GUGCUUAGUGAUGCAAGAGAUUGGUGAAGAGUGUGUUUUGUCUGACUGGCAAGUCAGAUGGGACACUAGCGUGAAUGGGCGUGUCACUCAUCGGUUUAUACGGGAGGUUACAUUUGCCGGCAGCCGACCAGACUUUGGGUUCGGCCUGAGUCUUGGAUUCCUGUUGACUGGUCACGGUUCCCUCAAUGCAUUCCUGCAUUCGAGGAACCUUUAUGACAGUCCAGAAUGCCGUUGUGGCUCGGCUGCUGAGACAUGGGAGCAUGUUCUCUGUGAGUGCACAAGGUAUGCAGAUUUUCGAGAUCUGAGGGGGAUGGGUAUAAGUGAGGUUAGUGGCGGGUUUGACGUAAGUCAAUCACUCUCCACUAGUGAUAGGGUUAGAAGAAUGAGUGAGUUUGCUAGAGCUGCAUUUUCCAGGCGACGUUUGCAAUUGCAGGAAGGAAUUGUAUGAAUGAUGAUGGAUGGUAGAUGUGAGAAUGUGGGGGUACGAAUGUGGGGGUGUUUCUGAAUGGUAAUUUUUGUUGAACAUUGUGUUGUGAUGGGGCUACCAACCCUUAACUGUUUUGGAGUUUAAAUUGGAAGUGCCCUUCUGGUACGAGGCCUGACCGGAGGCUUUUAAUCUGGUACCACGGGUAACCAGGAGCCCACGGAACUUGUUCCGUCCUGGUUAGUUGGUGCGGCCCUUCGGGGAGUAUCGUGGUGGUUGUGGUUUAACACCCAAAUGCGGGUAGAGCAUCGCUCGACGUGGAAGUUGCGUCAUACAACCGGGUUCCGUGACCCAGAUUAACGGAAGAGGCUUAGAUAGUCCUCGUGCCAAACCAAGGUAGAAGUCACAACCAAACAGUCGUGUCUUUAAUUGGUACCUGCGGAAUUGUUCCAAGGGGGCGGUGAUUGACGCUUGAAUUAAUCCUAUACUAGGAACCGUGAGAUUAAGCCAUCGCGGCAGGUGCUCACGUUAAGCCCACUGACUUUCAUGUCCCUAUCUACUAUCUAGCGAAACCACAGCCAAGGGAACGGGCUUGGAAUAAUUAGCGGGGAAAGAAGACCCUUUUGAGCUUGACUCUAAUCUGGCAGUGUAAGGAGACAUAAGAGGUGUAGAAUAAGUGGGAGAUAUUAGACUUCGGUUUGGUAUCGACAAUGAAAUACCACUACUCUUAUUGUUUCCUUACUUACUUGAUUAAAUGGAACGUGUAUCAUUUCCUAGCCAUUAUACGGAUAUAAUUAUUAUGUCUUAUGGUAUUGGGUUUUGAUGCAAGCUUCUUGAUCAAAGUAUCACGAGUUUGUUAUAUAAUCGCAAACAAAUUCUUUAAUGAGAGAAUGCAUUUAUGUAUUAUUGAUUUAA
rnacentral:ncRNA from 1 species